rnacentral:tRNA from 1 species
GAGAAUUUAUUUUAAAAUUUAAAAAAAAAUAAAAGAUUGUAAAUCUUUAGAUUUAAUUCUUA